GAUGAACGCUGGCGGCGUGCCUAACACAUGCAAGUCGAGCGAUUCUCUUCGGAGAAGAGCGGCGGACGGGUGAGUAACGCGUGGGUAACCUGCCCUGUACACACGGAUAACAUACCGAAAGGUAUGCUAAUACGGGAUAAUAUGCUUUAGUCGCAUGGCUGAAGUAUCAAAGCUCCGGCGGUACAGGAUGGACCCGCGUCUGAUUAGCUAGUUGGUAAGGUAAUGGCUUACCAAGGCGACGAUCAGUAGCCGACCUGAGAGGGUGAUCGGCCACAUUGGAACUGAGACACGGUCCAAACUCCUACGGGAGGCAGCAGUGGGGAAUAUUGCACAAUGGGCGAAAGCCUGAUGCAGCAACGCCGCGUGAGCGAUGAAGGCCUUCGGGUCGUAAAGCUCUGUCCUCAAGGAAGAUAAUGACGGUACUUGAGGAGGAAGCCCCGGCUAACUACGUGCCAGCCGCCGCGGUAA
rnacentral:rRNA from 1 species